AGAGUUUGAUCCUGGUUCAGGACGAACGCUGGCGGCGUGCCUAACACAUGCAAGUCGAGCGGAGACAGUGAGUAGCUUGCUAUGAGCUGUUUUAGCGGCGGACGGGUGAGUAACGCGUGAGCAACCUUUCCCAGACAGGGGAAUAACACACCGAAAGGUGUACUAAUACCGCAUAAGACCACGGUAUCACAUGGUUCUGGGGUAAAAGAUUUAUCGGUUUGGGGUGGGCUCGCGUCCGAUUAGGUAGUUGGUGAGGUAACGG
rnacentral:rRNA from 1 species